UGGGGAAUAUUGCACAAUGGGCGAAAGCCUGAUGCAGCGACGCCGCGUGAGGGAUGACGGCCUUCGGGUUGUAAACCUCUUUCGCCAGGGACGAAGCGCAAGUGACGGUACCUGGAUAAGAAGCACCGGCUAACUACGUGCCAGCAGCCGCGGUAAUACGUAGGGUGCGAGCGUUGUCCGGAUUUAUUGGGCGUAAAGAGCUCGUAGGCGGUUUGUCGCGUCGGCCGUGAAAUCUCCACGCUUAACGUGGAGCGUGCGGUCGAUACGGGCAGACUUGAGUUCGGUAGGGGAGACUGGAAUUCCUGGUGUAGCGGUGAAAUGCGCAGAUAUCAGGAGGAACACCGGUGGCGAAGGCGGGUCUCUGGGCCGAUACUGACGCUGAGGAGCGAAAGCGUGGGGAGCGAACA
rnacentral:rRNA from 1 species